AUGAUUGAUUCUGACCCAGUUCCUGCAGCUCCAGCUCCUGCGCAAGUUGAAGCAGAUGCAGAAGAUGUACAAGACGAUGUACAUGGUGGUGCAGGUGAAGAAGAUGCUCCCCAGCAGCAGCAACAAGAGUAUGAUGCUGAAGUUGAUGAUCCGGAUCAGCUGGAAGCACCAGCACCAGAAAGUCCACCAGCUGCUCCACUCAGAAGAUCCAAUAGGGGUCGAAUUCCUUCCAGCAGGUAUCCCUCAGAUCAAUACAUGGUGUUAUUAUCUGACGGUUCAGAACCUGAAUGCUUUGCAGAUGCAAUGGAAGAUGAGCACAAGAAGGAGUGGAAAAAGGCUAUGCAAGAAGAGAUGGAUUCCUUGCAUAAGAAUCAUACUUAUGAGUUGGUGAUGUUGCCCAAGGGCAAGAAAAUUUUGAAGAACAAGUGGGUCUACAGAAUCAAGCAAGAAGAGCACACAUCACAUCCAAGGUACAAAUCCAGGCUAGUUGUAAAAGGAUUCGGCCAGAGAAAAGGCAUUGACUAUGAUGAGAUCUUUUCUCCGGUUGUGAAGAUGACAUCCAUAAGAGUAAUCCUUGGCAUGGCAGCAAGUCUCAACUUGGAGGUUGAGCAAAUGGAUGUGAAGACUACAUUCCUUCAUGGUGAGUUGGAGGAAGAAAUAUACAUGGAGCAACUGGAGGGGUUUCUUGUGAAAGACAAAGAAGACUAUGUGUGCAAGCUGAAGAAAAGUCUCUAUGGCCUGAAACAAGCACCAAGACAAUGGUACAUGAAGUUUGAAACUGUUAUGGGGGAGCAAGGCUACAAGAAGUAUAGCUCAGACCAUUGUGUGUUUAUUCAGAGGUUCUCAGGUGAUGAUUUCAUCAUAUUAUUGCUCUAUGUUGAUGAUAUCCUGAUUGUUGGCAAGAAUGUCUCUAGGAUUGCUAAGUUGAAGGAGUUGAGCAAAUGUUUUGCUAUGAAAGACUUAGGUCCAGCAAAGAACAUUCUCGGAAUGAGAAUUGAGCGAGACAGAAAUUGCAACAAGUUGUACUUGUCUCAAGAGAAGUAUAUUGAGAAGGUACUUCAGAAGUUCAGGAUGGAAAAUGCUAAAAAGUUGUAA
rnacentral:rRNA from 1 species